rnacentral:rRNA from 1 species
UACGAAGGGGGCUAGCGUUGUUCGGAAUUACUGGGCGUAAAGCGCACGUAGGCGGAUAUUUAAGUCAGGGGUGAAAUCCCGGGGCUCAACCCCGGAACUGCCUUUGAUACUGGGUAUCUCGAGUCCGAGAGAGGUGAGUGGAAUUCCGAGUGUAGAGGUGAAAUUCGUAGAUAUUCGGAGGAACACCAGUGGCGAAGGGCGGCUCACUGGCUCGGUACUGACGCUGAGGUGCGAAAGCGUGGGGAGCAAACAGGG